rnacentral:rRNA from 1 species
UACGAAGGGUGCAAGCGUUGUUCGGAAUCACUGGGCGUAAAGCGCGCGUAGGCGGCGAUACAAGUCAGAGGUGAAAUGCCAAGGCUCAACCUUGGAACUGCCUUUGAAACUGUAUUGCUAGAGUACUGGAGGGGUUGGCGGAAUUCCUAAUGUAGAGGUGAAAUUCGUAGAUAUUAGGAGGAACACCGGUGGCGAAGGCGGCCAACUGGACAGUAACUGACGCUGAGGCGCGAAAGCGUGGGGAUCAAACAGG